rnacentral:rRNA from 1 species
GGCGUGCCUAACACAUGCAAGUCGAACGAGAUCCAUGGGAGCUUGCUCCCGGAAGAUCUAGUGGCGAACGGGUGAGUAACACGUGAGAAACCUGCCCUGGAGUGGGGAAUAACUCGGGGAAACUCGAGCUAAUACCGCAUACCCUCGGAUGGUCGCAUGGCCGACCGAGGAAAGAUUUAUCGCUCUAGGAGGGUCUCGCGGCCUAUCAGCUAGUUGGUGGGGUAACGGCCUACCAAGGCAACGACGGGUAGCUGGUUUGAGAGAACGAUCAGCCACACUGGGACUGAGACACGGCCCAGACUCCUACGGGAGGCAGCAGUGGGGAAUCUUGCGCAAUGGGCGAAAGCCUGACGCAGCAACGCCGCGUGCGGGAUGACGGCCUUCGUGGUUGUAAACCGCUUUCAGCAGGGACGAAAAUGACGGUACCUGCGGAAGAAGCCCCGGCUAACUACGUG